GCCUGGGUGGUAGCUGAGCUGGUCAGUUCACCAGCUUCCCCUUUCUCUGCACCGCCAGAGCCAGUUGUCCAGCACUGCUCCAGCUCAGGACGGCUUAGGCGAUCCAAGGUUGGUUCCUUUAUGCACUCCUGUGCUUGGCGGAUUGCCCAAGACUUCUGACAGAGGACUGCCUGGGAAUGCACUGAGGAGAGGCAUCCCCAGACCAUUGUGACAAGACAUUCUUGCCAGACUCCUUACAACUGCCCAGGGUCACACAUGAGCUUUCGUGUUCUGUGUAUUAUACAAGCACUGGGGGAAAACAGGUGAGCAUUAACGAGAUGCUGAGCCAAGUAAGUGUGAAAGCAAGGCUCAAGUUGAAACAUACAUCACACGUGUGUGUCUGCGAAAUCUCAUCUGUGUAGUUCUCAGGAAGAAAUCAAACUUCAUGCCUCCUUCUGUGGUGAGCAGGUUGCUUUACAGGUGAUAAGAUACUCGCUGUGUUGGUUAUGAUCUGAAGGGAGCCUUCCUAAACUCAGAAAGACCACUACAGCCCACUCAAGUAUGCCCUAGUCUGACUUUAUGGCAUGCCAGCUGUGACCCCUAUGGGAGCCCUGCAGCUGGGUCUGCCCAAGGCUGUGACUCAGGCAGGCUCUGCCCGGGCUGGGCAUGAAUUCCUGCUGCCAGGCAGCAGGUGCCUAACUCACAGUGACUUGCAUUUUGCUACACCCAGCCCAGAAGGCUAGCUUAGCCAUCUCUAACCUUCCAUUGUGUUUUCUGUCCCAUCAGAUUAGCAAGUUCCACCACUGAUGCCUCAUCUGGAAAAGACCUCUAGCUGGCUGGAAGGGGCCUCAGAGAGCCUUGGGGUGGGGGAGACCCCCGAGAAAAGUGCCCUCAUCCCUAUGGACAGACAUCAUCAAGGAUACACAUACACAAACACUACAACCUCACUGCUCAUGUUGACAGGGACACCCAGGGUGGGGUCGUGCUGUCAAGCCCCUACACAGUCUCUCUGCCUGCACCCUCCUCACUGGCUGGUGCCUGCAGCCCUCACUUAAGGACAGCUGUGCAGAGCAGCCCCACAAACCAUAAACUGGUUUGGAAAAGGGAGACAGUUGGGCAAAGCCUUAGUUCCCAUCCCUAGCACCGCAAAAGAAAAAUAAGUAAAUAAAAACUUAAAAGAAAAAUAUUAAAACUAUAGGAAUAUAGUUCACACACCGUGGUGGUUUGAGUAGGAAUGCUCCCCAUAUAUUAGCCAUCUGAGAGUGGCACUACUUGAGAAAGAUUAGGAGGGGUGGCCUUGUUGAAGUAGGGUGUGGCUUUGUUGGAGGAAAUGUGUCAUGGCGGGUGGGGUGGGGGGGAGGUCAGUGGUCAGGGGUCCGGGUGGACUUUGAGGUUCCAAAAGCCCAGGACCAAUGGCCUUGUCUCUUCCUGCUGCCUGCAGAUCCAAAUGCAGAAGUGAGCUACUUCUCCAGCACCAUGUCUGCCUGCAUGCCACCAUGCUUCCCUCCAUGACGACAAUGAACUAAAGCUCUAACACUGUAAGCAAGCUCCAGUUAAAUACAUCCUGUUAUAAGAGUUGCUGACUUAGCAGAUAGGAGCACCGACUGCUCUUCUGAAGGUCCUGAGUUCAAAUCCCAGCAACCACAUGGUGGCUUACAACCAUCUGUAAUGAGAUCUGAUGCCUUCUUCUGGGGUGUCUGAAGACAGCUACAGUGUACUUACUUAUAAUAAAUAAUUUUAUU